GCUGGGCACGUUGGCAUGUGCCUGUAGUCCCAGCUGCUUGGGAAGCUGAGGCAGGAGGAUUGCUUGAGCCCAGGAGGUGGAGGCUGCAGUGAGCCAUGUUUGUACUACCACACUCCAGCCUGGGUGACAAAGUGAGACCCUGUCUCAA
rnacentral:sRNA from 2 species